UUUUUUUUUUUUUGAACAAAAACAAACCGAAAGGGCGGCUGGGAGUCGUAGUCCCGGCUGCCUCUCUGGCCUCCCCCGCUCCGGAAGAAUAUGGCUGAGUGAAACUCUUGGACCACACUUCCCAGCGUGCCCCGCGGCCCGUCUUUUCCGCCCUCCCCUCCCUUCCUCAGCCCAGCGCAGAGCUCGAUCACAGGCUCUGGGGGAGGCCAGGCACCCUGUCGUGAGGACACUCAAGAAGCCAUAUGGAGAGGUGACGUCUACACGGCCAGUAGCCCCAGACGAGCUUUCAAAUGACUUCAGCCCUGGCUAACAUCUUGAGAGAUCAACCUCAUAAGAGAUCCAGAGCCAGAAUCACCCAUAUAUGCUGCUCCUGGGAACUGAAGGGACACAAUCCAAGGCUCAGAAAGGUUAAGCAACUUGCAAUGGAAGUAUCAGGAUUUGAACACAGCUCCACACAAGCUCUAGGGGAGCAGGGAUUUUCCUCCUGUGGUGUUCAAAACAGUCCUUACUACUGAAUAGGUUACUGAAUCCUCCACAGAGCUCCACAAGUUAUCAGCAAUCAGCAUGCAUCUUAAGACAUGUCACCACUUCUGUCCGCUGCUCCUGCUGCCUGGUCCUAGCCACCACCUCCCCUCGCAACCGCCGCACCCCUUCCAGGCGGCCUCCUUCCUCUCCCCUUGCUUCCUCUUUUCUGUUCUCCACAGAGCAGCCAGAGGGAUCCUUUUAAGCAUUCCUGUCGGAUUUCCCUCUCUUGCUCUCCACCUCUUUUGCUUAAAAGCCUCCAAUGGUCCAAAA